rnacentral:rRNA from 1 species
GGUUAAGCGACUAAGCGUACACGGUGGAUGCCCUGGCAGUCAGAGGCGAUGAAGGACGUGCUAAUCUGCGAAAAGCGUCGGUAAGGUGAUAUGAACCGUUACAGCCGGCGAUGUCCGAAUGGGGAAACCCAGUGCAAUUCGUUGCACUAUCGUUAACUGAAUACAUAGGUUAACGAGGCGAACCGGGGGAACUGAAACAUCUAAGUACCCCGAGGAAAAGAAAUCAACCGAGAUUCCCCCAGUAGCGGCGAGCGAACGGGGAGCAGCCCAGAGUCUGAAUCAGCUUGUGUGUUAGUGGAACGGUCUGGAAAGUCCGACGGUACAGGGUGAUAGUCCCGUACACCAAAAUGCACAGGCUGUGAACUCGAAGAGUAGGGCGGGACACGUGGUAUCCUGUCUGAAUAUGGGGGGACCAUCCUCCAAGGCUAAAUACUCCUGACUGACCGAUAGUGAACCAGUACCGUGAGGGAAAGGCGAAAAGAACCCCGGCGAGGGGAGUGAAAAAGAACCUGAAACCGUGUACGUACAAGCAGUGGGAGCACCUUCGGGUGUGACUGCGUACCUUUUGUAUAAUGGGUCAGCGACUUAUAUUCUGUAGCAAGGUUAACCGUAUAGGGGAGCCGCAGGGAAACCGAGUCUUAACUGGGCGUUAAGUUGCAGGGUAUAGACCCGAAACCCGGUGAUCUAGCCAUGGGCAGGUUGAAGGUUGGGUAACACUAACUGGAGGACCGAACCGACUAAUGUUGAAAAAUUAGCGGAUGACUUGUGGCUGGGGGUGAAAGGCCAAUCAAACCGGGAGAUAGCUGGUUCUCCCCGAAAGCUAUUUAGGUAGCGCCUCGUGAACUCAUCUUCGGGGGUAGAGCACUGUUUCGGCUAGGGGGUCAUCCCGACUUACCAACCCGAUGCAAACUACGAAUACCGAAGAAUGUUAUCACGGGAGACACACGGCGGGUGCUAACGUCCGUCGUGAAGAGGGAAACAACCCAGACCGCCAGCUAAGGUCCCAAAGUCAUGGUUAAGUGGGAAACGAUGUGGGAAGGCACAGACAGCCAGGAUGUUGGCUUAGAAGCAGCCAUCAUUUAAAGAAAGCGUAAUAGCUCACUGGUCGAGUCGGCCUGCGCGGAAGAUGUAACGGGGCUAAACCAUGCACCGAAGCUGCGGCAGCGACACUAUGUGUUGUUGGGUAGGGGAGCGUUCUGUAAGCCUGCGAAGGUGACCUGUGAGGGUUGCUGGAGGUAUCAGAAGUGCGAAUGCUGACAUAAGUAACGAUAAAGCGGGUGAAAAGCCCGCUCGCCGGAAGACCAAGGGUUCCUGUCCAACGUUAAUCGGGGCAGGGUGAGUCGACCCCUAAGGCGAGGCCGAAAGGCGUAGUCGAUGGGAAACAGGUUAAUAUUCCUGUACUUGGUGUUACUGCGAAGGGGGGACGGAGAAGGCUAUGUUAGCCGGGCGACGGUUGUCCCGGUUUAAGCAUGUAGGCUGGUUGUCCAGGCAAAUCCGGAUAAUCAAGGCUGAGGUGUGAUGACGAGGCACUACGGUGCUGAAGUAACAAAUGCCCUGCUUCCAGGAAAAGCCUCUAAGCAUCAGGUAACAUCAAAUCGUACCCCAAACCGACACAGGUGGUCAGGUAGAGAAUACCAAGGCGCUUGAGAGAACUCGGGUGAAGGAACUAGGCAAAAUGGUGCCGUAACUUCGGGAGAAGGCACGCUGGUGUGUAGGUGAAGUCCCUGCGGAUGGAGCUGAGACCAGUCGAAGAUACCAGCUGGCUGCAACUGUUUAUUAAAAACACAGCACUGUGCAAACACGAAAGUGGACGUAUACGGUGUGACGCCUGCCCGGUGCCGGAAGGUUAAUUGAUGGGGUUAUCCGUAAGGAGAAGCUCUUGAUCGAAGCCCCGGUAAACGGCGGCCGUAACUAUAACGGUCCUAAGGUAGCGAAAUUCCUUGUCGGGUAAGUUCCGACCUGCACGAAUGGCGUAAUGAUGGCCAGGCUGUCUCCACCCGAGACUCAGUGAAAUUGAACUCGCUGUGAAGAUGCAGUGUACCCGCGGCAAGACGGAAAGACCCCGUGAACCUUUACUAUAGCUUGACACUGAACAUUGAGCCUUGAUGUGUAGGAUAGGUGGGAGGCUUUGAAGCGUGGACGCCAGUCUGCGUGGAGCCAACCUUGAAAUACCACCCUUUAAUGUUUGAUGUUCUAACGUUGGCCCCUUACCGGGGUUGCGGACAGUGUCUGGUGGGUAGUUUGACUGGGGCGGUCUCCUCCCAAAGCGUAACGGAGGAGCACGAAGGUUAGCUAAUCCUGGUCGGACAUCAGGAGGUUAGUGCAAUGGCAUAAGCUAGCUUGACUGCGAGCGUGACGGCGCGAGCAGGUGCGAAAGCAGGUCAUAGUGAUCCGGUGGUUCUGAAUGGAAGGGCCAUCGCUCAACGGAUAAAAGGUACUCCGGGGAUAACAGGCUGAUACCGCCCAAGAGUUCAUAUCGACGGCGGUGUUUGGCACCUCGAUGUCGGCUCAUCACAUCCUGGGGCUGAAGUAGGUCCCAAGGGUAUGGCUGUUCGCCAUUUAAAGUGGUACGCGAGCUGGGUUUAGAACGUCGUGAGACAGUUCGGUCCCUAUCUGCCGUGGGCGCUGGAGAAUUGAGGGGGGCUGCUCCUAGUACGAGAGGACCGGAGUGGACGCAUCACUGGUGUUCGGGUUGUCAUGCCAAUGGCACUGCCCGGUAGCUAAAUGCGGAAGAGAUAAGUGCUGAAAGCAUCUAAGCACGAAACUUGCCCCGAGAUGAGUUCUCCCUGAGACUUUAAGUCUCCUGAAGGAACGUUAAAGACGAUGACGUUGAUAGGCCGGGUGUGUAAGCGCAGCGAUGCGUUGAGCUAACCGGUACUAAUGAACCGUGAGGCUUAACCUU